AUGUCCAUUCGAAAACUAUCCACCAUCCUCGCCGUGCUCUUACCUACGUUUUGGGCGGCCGCGACCGCCGUGCGCAGCUCGACGCUGCUCCUGGCACGCUCGCACUCGCUGCCGUCGCCCAACGCCGGCGCGCCGCUCACCGAAUGGGCGGCUUCCCUUGCCGCGCAGUCCGCCGCCGACGUGACACGCGUUGCCAUGCUCGCGGCAGCCGUGCCUGCCAAAGCCAAAUCUAGGAGCAAAGGCCGGUCGUUCGUCCCGAUCGCUUCGGGCCGGCAGAUCCUCAGCAUCAACAAUUACGUGGCCCGCGCGCGGCUCGGCACGCCGCCACAGACGCUGCUGGUUGCCAUCGACCCCAGCAACGACGCCGCCUGGAUCCCGUGCAGCGCCUGCGUCGGCUGCGCGCCCAAGUCGUCCCCGUCCUUCGCCCCGACGGACUUGCCCACGUACAGGCGCGUCCUGCCCCGGCGGCCCCGGCGCAUCGUGCGCGUUCAACAUGUCUUACGGGUCGUCCACGCUCCAGGCCGUGCUCGGGCAGGACGUGCUGUUAAGACUAAACCAUGGGCUACUACAGGAAACGGCCCAUCCGAAGAAGCCCAGGAGGUGGUUCAGCUCGACAAGCGGCUGAGACAGCCAGCCCAGCGAUAUGCAUCAGACGAAGCCAAAAUUUCCCCACACACGCUGGAGCAUCCGCACGAGACUAGGCUGGCGGCGGCAGCGGCGCGCCGGCGUCAGGAACUCAUGGACAAUCUCACUUCGGAGGGCAAGGCGGUCUAUGAGACGGUCACGCAAGCAAGCGAGGCGACCCAUCUUCGCUACCAGAAGGAGCUCGAGGCGAUGAUUGUGGCGGCGGUGGGCAGCGCAGUUGAGGUGGCGGUGUCGCGCUCGGUUGGGGCGGCCGUCGACAAGGCCAUCGAGGCGGCGAUGGAAACAGCCGUCAACGACAUGCAAGCGUACACCGACGGCGCCGAAGUGGACCUCCUCAAGCAGAUCCAGGAACUACGCGUCGCCAAGGGUUCGACGACUCGUCCCAGUGAAGCAGAAGGGGGCGAGCGCUCUCCCAAGGGCGCGGCGGAAGGGAACACGCAGGCGUUCCGUUCAUCCAUGGCGGCGAAGGGCGCGGCCUCGUCUGGGCCAUAUAUUCCACCGCCAGCUCGAGUGCAAAGGCCUGCUGAUUUAGAUGCAGCUUAUUCCAUUGCCGCCGUGCAAGAAGAGGUUGCUGAUUGUGAACCAGAGUACACUCAUGCCAACAGGCGAGCUAGUUACUCCAAUCCAUCUCGGCAGUAUAAACAGUCAGCUGAACAUAAAGUGCCAAUUGAGGUCCGAGUACCUGAAACACAAAAGGUCACUUCAGUUGCUGAGGACAAGUUAGCCACUCCCAAGGCUUACAGGAGGGCAAAAGAAACACAAACUUCUGAUCCGGCUAACAGUGCUAUUCGACUCACUUGUCAAGUUGGAGGACAGGAAGUAGUCUUCUUAUUGGAUUCUGGUAGCUCACAUUCAUUUCUCAGUGACAGAUUGGCAGGUCAUUUAGUGGGUCGGCAACCUUUGAGCAAGGUGCAGAAAGUCAGGAUCGCUGGAGGAGGACAACUGGAACGCUCUGCUUGGAUUCCUAACUAUGGAUGAGCCAAAAUUUCCCCACACACGCUGGAGCAUCCGCACGAGACUAGGCUGGCGGCGGCAGCGGCGCGCCGGCGUAAGGAACUCAUGGACAAUCUCACUUCGGAGGGCAAGGCGGUCUAUGAGACGGUCACGCAAGCAAGCGAGGCGACCCAUCUUCGCUACCAGAAGGAGCUCGAGGCGAUGAUUGUGGCGGCGGUGGGCAGCGCAGUUGAGGCGGCGGUGUCGCGCUCGGUUGGGGCGGCCGUCGACAAGGCCAUCGAGGCGGCGAUGGAAACAGCCGUCAACGACAUGCAAGCGUACACCGACGGCGCCGAAGUGGACCUCCUCAAGCAGAUCCAGGAACUACGCGUCGCCAAGGGUUCGACGACUCGUCCCAGUGAAGCAGAAGGGGGCGAGCGCUCUCCCAAGGGCGCGGCGGAAGGGAACAUGCAGGCGUUCUGUUCAUCCAUGGCGGCGAAGGGCGCGGCCUCGUCUGGGCCAUAUAUUCCACCGCCAGCUCGAGUGCAAAGGCCUGCUGAUUUAGAUGCAGCUUAUUCCAUUGCCGCCGUGCAAGAAGAGGUUGCUGAUUGUGAACCAGAGUACACUCAUGCCAACAGGCGAGCUAGUUACUCCAAUCCAUCUCGGCAGUAUAAACAGUCAGCUGAACAUAAAGUGCCAAUUGAGGUCCGAGUACCUGAAACACAAAAGGUCACUUCAGUUGCUGAGGACAAGUUAGCCACUCCCAAGGCUUACAGGAGGGCAAAAGAAACACAAACUUCUGAUCCGGCUAAUAGUGCUAUUCGACUCACUUGUCAAGUUGGAGGACAGGAAGUAGUCUUCUUAUUGGAUUCUGGUAGCUCACAUUCAUUUCUCAGUGACAGAUUGGCAGGUCAUUUAGUGGGUCGGCAACCUUUGAGCAAGGUGCAGAAAGUCAGGAUCGCUGGAGGAGGACAACUGGAAUGCUCUGCUUGGAUUCCUAACUAUGGAUGAGCCAAAAUUUCCCCACACACGCUGGAGCAUCCGCACGAGACUAGGCUGGCGGCGGCAGCGGCGCGCCGGCGUCAGGAACUCAUGGACAAUCUCACUUCGGAGGGCAAGGCGGUCUAUGAGACGGUCACGCAAGCAAGCGAGGCGACCCAUCUUCGCUACCAGAAGGAGCUCGAGGCGAUGAUUGUGGCGGCGGUGGGCAGCGCAGUUGAGGUGGCGGUGUCGCGCUCGGUUGGGGCGGCCGUCGACAAGGCCAUCGAGGCGGCGAUGGAAACAGCCGUCAACGACAUGCAAGCGUACACCGACGGCGCCGAAGUGGACCUCCUCAAGCAGAUCCAGGAACUACGCGUCGCCAAGGGUUCGACGACUCGUCCCAGUGAAGCAGAAGGGGGCGAGCGCUCUCCCAAGGGCGCGGCGGAAGGGAACACGAAGGCGUUCCGUUCAUCCAUGGCGGCGAAGGGCGCGGCCUCGUCUGGGCCAUAUAUUCCACCGCCAGCUCGAGUGCAAAGGCCUGCUGAUUUAGAUGCAGCUUAUUCCAUUGCCGCCGUGCAAGAAGAGGUUGCUGAUUGUGAACCAGAGUACACUCAUGCCAACAGGCGAGCUAGUUACUCCAAUCCAUCUCGGCAGUAUAAACAGUCAGCUGAACAUAAAGUGCCAAUUGAGGUCCGAGUACCUGAAACACAAAAGGUCACUUCAGUUGCUGAGGACAAGUUAGCCACUCCCAAGGCUUACAGGAGGGCAAAAGAAACACAAACUUCUGAUCCGGCUAACAGUGCUAUUCGACUCACUUGUCAAGUUGGAGGACAGGAAGUAGUCUUCUUAUUGGAUUCUGGUAGCUCACAUUCAUUUCUCAGUGACAGAUUGGCAGGUCAUUUAGUGGGUCGGCAACCUUUGAGCAAGGUGCAGAAAGUCAGGAUCGCUGGAGGAGGACAACUGGAAUGCUCUGCUUGGAUUCCUAACUAUGGAUGCGGCGCUGCGUCGUCGUACACGUCCGGGUGCCUCCGCGUGGUCACCGGCCAGUCCGUGCCGCCGCAGGGGCUCCUCGGCUUUGGGCGCGGGCCGCUCUCCUUCCUGUCGCAGACGAAGGACACCUACGGCUCGGUCUUCUCCUACUGCCUCCCGAGCUACACGUCCUCCAACUUCUCCGGGACGCUGAGGCUUGGCCCCGCCGGGCAGCCGAAGCGGAUCAAGACGACGCCGCUGCUCUACAACCCCCACCGCCCCACCCUGUACUACGUCGACAUAAUCGGCAUCCGCGUGGGCGGCAGGUCCAUGGCCGUGCCGGCAUCGGCACUCGCGUCGUUCGACCCGGCUAAAGGCACCGGCGGCACGAUCAUGGACGCGGGCGCCAUGUUCACGCUGUUCUCGCCCCCCGUGUACGCCCGCAUCACGGUCGCGUUCGCCGGCGGGGAGGGGGCGGCCGUGACACUGCCUGAGGAGAACGUGAUGAUCCACAGAACGUGGGGCGGCGUCGCGUGCCUGGCCAUGGCGGCGGGCCCGUCGACGGGGGUGAACGCAGGGCUCAACGUGUUGGCCAGCAUGCAGCAGCAGAACCACCGCGUGCUCUUCGACGUGGCCAACGCCCGGGUCGGGUUCUCGCGCGAGCUUUGCACGGCCUGA
rnacentral:rRNA from 1 species